GCCCAGGUGGAUCAACGGCAGAUCGUCCCUUCAACAUAACAUGAUGCAUGAGAGGAUCCAGGUUCGAGUCCUCUCCUAGGCA